rnacentral:piRNA from 1 species
UGUUGGACACAUUUGGUACUGUUAAGCU